CCUACGGGUGGCAGCAGUGAGGAAUAUUGGUCAAUGGACGCAAGUCUGAACCAGCCAAGUCGCGUGCGGGAAGACGGCCCUAUGAGUUGUAAACUGCUUUUGUCCGAGGGUAAACGCCGACACGCGUAUCUGUCUGAAAGUAUCCGACGAAUAAGCAUCGGCUAACUCCGUGCCAGCAGCCGCGGUAAUACGGAGGAUGCACGCGUUAUCCGGAUUUAUUGGGUUUAAAUGGUGCGGCGGCGGUCGGUUAAGUUAGGGGUGAAAUCCCGAGGCUCAACUUCGGACUUGCCGCUGAAACGGUUCGGCUAGAGAGUAGUUGCGGUAGGCGGAAUGUGUGGUGUAGCGGUGAAAUGCUUAGAGAUCAUACAGAACACCGAUUGCGAAGGCAGCUUACCAGGCUACUUCGGACGUUGAGGCACGAAAGCGUGGGGAGCGAACAGGAUUAGAUACCCUAGUAGUC
rnacentral:rRNA from 1 species